rnacentral:rRNA from 1 species
AACGAACGCUGGCGGCAUGCCUAACACAUGCAAGUCGAACGAGACCUUCGGGUCUAGUGGCGCACGGGUGCGUAACGCGUGGGAACCUGCCCUUAGGUUCGGAAUAACUCCCCGAAAGGGGUGCUAAUACCGGAUAAUGUCUUCGGACCAAAGAUUUAUCGCCUUUGGAUGGGCCCGCGUUGGAUUAGCUAGUUGGUAGGGUAAAAGCCUACCAAGGCGACGAUCCAUAGCUGGUCUGAGAGGAUGAUCAGCCACACUGGGACUGAGACACGGCCCAGACUCCGACGGAAGGGAGCAGUGGGGAAUAUUGGACGAUGGGCGAAAGCCUGAUCCAGCAAUGCCGCGUGAGUGAUGAAGGCCUUAGGGUUGUAAAGCUCUUUUACCCGGGAUGAUAAUGACAGUACCGGGAGAAUAAGCACCGGCUAACUCCGUG